rnacentral:rRNA from 1 species
CCCCUAGAUGUUCUGGGCCGCACGCGCGCUACACUGAACAGUUCAACAAGUCUUAACCUUGGCCGAUAGGUCUGGGUAAUCUUUGAACGCUGUUCGUGAUUGGGAUAGACCUUUGCAAUUAUGGGUCUUCAACGAGGAAUUCCUAGUAAACGCAAGUCAUCAGCUUGCAUGGAUUACGUCCCUGCCCUUUGUACACACCGCCCGUCGCACCUACCGAUUGAAUGGUCCGGUGAAAUCUCGGGACGGCGGCUUGGUCGCUUGCGUCCGACUGCUGAAACUUGAUUAAACCAUAUCAUUUAGAGGAAGGUGAAGUCGUANCA